rnacentral:rRNA from 1 species
CGGCGUAGGCGGUUUUUUAAGUCAGAUGUGUAAUCCCCGAGCUUAACUUGGGAACUGCAUCUGAGACUGGAAGGCUAGAGUACUGGGAGAGGGUGGUGGAAUUCCUCGUGUAGCGGUGAAAUGCGUAGAGAUGAGGAGGAACACCAGUGGCGAAGGCGGCCACCUGGACAGUAACUGACGCUGAGGCGCGAAAGUGUGGGUAGCAAACAGGAUUAGAUACCCUGGUAGUCCACGCUGUAAACGAUGAACACUUGGUGUGGAGGGAGUUGACCCCUUCCGUGCCGGAGCUAACGCGUUAAGUGUUCCGCCUGGGGAGUACGGUCGCAAGGCUGAA